CCUACGGGAGGCUGCAGUGGGGAAUAUUGGGCAAUGGGCGCAAGCCUGACCCAGCAACGCCGCGUGAAGGAAGAAGGCUUUCGGGUUGUAAACUUCUUUUGUCAGGGAAGAGUAGAAGAAGGUACCUGACGAAUAAGCCACGGCUAACUACGUUCCAGCAGCCGAGGUAAUACGUAGGGGGCAAGCGUUGUCCGGAUUUACUGGGUGUAAAGGGCGUGUAGGCGGGUUGACAAGUCAGAUGUGAAAGCCUGGGGCUUAACCGCAGAACUGCAUUUGAAACUGUUGAUCUUGAGUACUGGAGAGGCAGACGGAAUUCCUAGUGUAGCGGUGAAAUGCGUAGAUAUUAGGAGGAACACCAGUGGCGAAGGCGGUCUGCUGGACAGAAACUGACGGUGAGGCGCGAAAGCGUGGGGAGCAAACAGGAUUAGAUACCCGUGUAGUC
rnacentral:rRNA from 1 species